rnacentral:rRNA from 1 species
AGAGUUUGAUCAUGGCUCAGAGCGAACGCUGGCGGCAGGCUUAACACAUGCAAGUCGAGCGGGUGUAGCAAUACAUCAGCGGCAGACGGGUGAGUAACGCGUGGGAACGUACCUUUUGGUUCGGAACAACCCAGGGAAACUUGGGCUAAUACCGGAUAAGCCCUUACGGGGAAAGAUUUAUCGCCGAAAGAUCGGCCCGCGUCUGAUUAGCUAGUUGGUGAGGUAACGGCUCACCAAGGCGACGAUCAGUAGCUGGUCUGAGAGGAUGAUCAGCCACAUUGGGACUGAGACACGGCCCAAACUCCUACGGGAGGCAGCAGUGGGGAAUAUUGGACAAUGGGGGCAACCCUGAUCCAGCCAUGCCGCGUGAGUGAUGAAGGCCCUAGGGUUGUAAAGCUCUUUUGUGCGGGAAGAUAAUGACGGUACCGCAAGAAUAAGCCCCGGCUAACUUCGUGCCAGCAGCCGCGGUAAUACGAAGGGGGCUAGCGUUGCUCGGAAUCACUGGGCGUAAAGGGUGCGUAGGCGGGUCUUUAAGUCAGGGGUGAAAUCCUGGAGCUCAACUCCAGAACUGCCUUUGAUACUGAAGAUCUUGAGUCCGGGAGAGGUGAGUGGAACUGCGAGUGUAGAGGUGAAAUUCGUAGAUAUUCGCAAGAACACCAGUGGCGAAGGCGGCUCACUGGCCCGGUACUGACGCUGAGGCACGAAAGCGUGGGGAGCAAACAGGAUUAGAUACCCUAGUAGUCC